rnacentral:rRNA from 1 species
GUCUAAGUACAAUCCUUGAUACAAGAGAAACUGCAGAUGGCUCAUUAGAUCAGUUAUGGUUUAUUUGGAGAAAGCCUCAUACCAUGGAUAACUGUGGUAAUUCUAGAGCUAAUACAUGCAACUAAGCGCCGACCCUUCGGGGGAAGCGUGCCUUUAUUAGGAACAAGGCCAGCUCGGUCCUCUCGGGGGCCGGUCUCCGCUGGUGAACUCUAGAUAACAAAGCCGAUCGCACGGUCUCGCACCGGCGACGCUCCCUUCAAAAGUCUGCUCUAUCAACUUUCGAUGGUACGUUAUGCGCUUAUCAUGGUCGUGACGGGUAACGGAGAAUCAGGGUUCGAUUCCGGAGAGGGAGCCUGAGAAACGGCUACCACAUCCAAGGAAGGCAGCAGGCACGCAAAUUACCCACUCCUGACACGGGGAGGUAGUGACAAAAAAUAACGAUACAGGCCUCUUCGGAGGCCCUGUGAUCGGAAUGAGUACACUUUAAAUCCUUUAACGAGGAUCUACUGGAGGGCAAGUCUGGUGCCAGCAGCCGCGGUAAUUCCAGCUCCAGCAGCGUAUAUUAAAUUUGCUGCAGUUAAAAAGCUCGUAGUCGGAUUUCUGGCCGGGGCGGGCGGUCCGCCGCGAGGCGAGCACUGCCCGUUCCCCUGCUCCUCGUCAGAANGGGAGUCGUGGGAGAUUUUUCCCGGCCAGUGAUUCGGUUGGUCGUGCGGUGCUCUUGACUGAGUGCCGUGCGAAACUGGAACGUUUACUUUGAGAAAAUUAGAGUGUUCAAAGCAGGCCAAGUGCCCGAACAGCUCAGCAUGGAAUAGUGGAAAAAGGACCUCGGUUCUAUUUCGUUGGUCUUUAGAUCUGAGGUAAUGAUCAAGAGGGACUGCCGGGGGCAUUCGUAUUGCGGCGUGAGAGGUGAAAUUCUUGGAUCGUCGCAAGACGCCCGACAGCGAAAGCAUUUGCCAAGAAUGUCUUCAUUGAUCAAGAACGAAAGUCGGAGGAUCGAAGGCGAUCAGAUACCGCCCUAGUUCCGACCAUAAACGAUACCGACUCGUAAUUCGCCGGCGUUMCUCCCAUGACGCGGCGGGCAACUCUCCGGAAAACCAAAGUCUUUGGGUUCCGGGGGAAGUAUGGUUGCAAAGCUGAAACUUAAAGGAAUUGACGGAAGGGCACCACCAGGAGUGGAGCCUGCGGCUUAAUUUGACUCAACACGGGGAAACCUACCCGGCCCGGACACAGUAAGGAUUGACAGAUUGAGAGCUCUUUCUUGAUUUUGUGGAUGGUGGUGCAUGGCCGUUCUUAGUUGGUGGAGUGAUUUGUCUGGUUAAUUCCGAUAACGAACGAGACUCUGGCUUGCUAAAUAGUCUGGCCACCCGUCGCGGUGAGCCGAGAACUUCUUAGAGGGACAAAUGGCUUUCAGCCAUACGAGAUGGAGCAAUAACAGGUCUGUGAUGCCCUUAGAUGUCCGGGGCCGCACGCGCGCUACACUGGCGCACUCAGCGGGUUCAAUUGCCCUCGGCCGACAGGUCUGGGUAAUCCGUUGAGACUUCUCCGUGCUGGGGACAGGGACUUGUAAUUGUGUCCCUUGAACGAGGAAUUCCAAGUAAACGCGAGUCAUCAACUCGCAUUGAUUACGUCCCUGCCCUUUGUACACACCGCCCGUCGCUACUACCGAUCGAAUGGCUUAGUGAGGCCAUCGGAUCGUCCGUCUGGCAACCCCGGCUUCGGUCGGCAAUCCUUGAUACAAGAGAAACUGCAGAUGGCUCAUUAGAUCAGUUAUGGUUUAUUUGGAGAAAGCCUCAUACCAUGGAUAACUGUGGUAAUUCUAGAGCUAAUACAUGCAACUAAGCGCCGACCCUUCGGGGGAAGCGUGCCUUUAUUAGGAACAAGGCCAGCUCGGUCCUCUCGGGGGCCGGUCUCCGCUGGUGAACUCUAGAUAACAAAGCCGAUCGCACGGUCUCGCACCGGCGACGCUCCCUUCAAAAGUCUGCUCUAUCAACUUUCGAUGGUACGUUAUGCGCUUAUCAUGGUCGUGACGGGUAACGGAGAAUCAGGGUUCGAUUCCGGAGAGGGAGCCUGAGAAACGGCUACCACAUCCAAGGAAGGCAGCAGGCACGCAAAUUACCCACUCCUGACACGGGGAGGUAGUGACAAAAAAUAACGAUACAGGCCUCUUCGGAGGCCCUGUGAUCGGAAUGAGUACACUUUAAAUCCUUUAACGAGGAUCUACUGGAGGGCAAGUCUGGUGCCAGCAGCCGCGGUAAUUCCAGCUCCAGCAGCGUAUAUUAAAUUUGCUGCAGUUAAAAAGCUCGUAGUCGGAUUUCUGGCCGGGGCGGGCGGUCCGCCGCGAGGCGAGCACUGCCCGUUCCCCUGCUCCUCGUCAGAAUGGGAGUCGUGGGAGAUUUUUCCCGGCCAGUGAUUCGGUUGGUCGUGCGGUGCUCUUGACUGAGUGCCGUGCGAGACUGGAACGUUUACUUUGAGAAAAUUAGAGUGUUCAAGCAGUCAGAGUCCCCUGGAUCCGUCGAGGGAUCAGGAGACUGUCCAGCCAGUGAUCGAUCGUCGUGCCGUGUUCUGACUGACUGCCGUGCAGACUGACGUUACUUUGAGAUAGUUAGAGUGAUCAAGCAGCUAAGUGCUCGACAGCUCAGCAUGAUAGUCGAAAGGAACUCGAUCUAUUCGUGUCUGAGAUCUGAGGUAAUGAUCAAGAGGGACUGCCGGGGGCAUUCGUAUGCGGCGUGAGAGGUGAAUCUUGGAUCGUCGCAAGACGCCCGACAGCGAAAGCAUUGCCAAGAAUGUCUUCAUUGAUCAAGAACGAAAGUCGGAGGAUCGAAGGCGAUCAGAUACCGCCCUAGUUCCGACCAUAAACGAUACCGACUCGUAAUUCGCCGGCGUUCCUCCCAUGACGCGGCGGGCAACUCUCCGGAAAACCAAAGUCUUUGGGUUCCGGGGGAAGUAUGGUUGCAAAGCUGAAACUUAAAGGAAUUGACGGAAGGGCACCACCAGGAGUGGAGCCUGCGGCUUAAUUUGACUCAACACGGGGAAACCUACCCGGCCCGGACACAGUAAGGAUUGACAGAUUGAGAGCUCUUUCUUGAUUUUGUGGAUGGUGGUGCAUGGCCGUUCUUAGUUGGUGGAGUGAUUUGUCUGGUUAAUUCCGAUAACGAACGAGACUCUGGCUUGCUAAAUAGUCUGGCCACCCGUCGCGGUGAGCCGAGAACUUCUUAGAGGGACAAAUGGCUUUCAGCCAUACGAGAUGGAGCAAUAACAGGUCUGUGAUGCCCUUAGAUGUCCGGGGCCGCACGCGCGCUACACUGGCGCACUCAGCGGGUUCAAUUGCCCUCGGCCGACAGGUCUGGGUAAUCCGUUGAGACUUCUCCGUGCUGGGGACAGGGACUUGUAAUUGUGUCCCUUGAACGAGGAAUUCCAAGUAAACGCGAGUCAUCAACUCGCAUUGAUUACGUCCCUGCCCUUUGUACACACCGCCCGUCGCUACUACCGAUCGAAUGGCUUAGUGAGGCCAUCGGAUCGUCCGUCUGGCAACCCCGGCUUCGGUCGGCGUCAGGCGACAGAACUCACGACGUGAGUUUCCUAAUAACCUUAUU